CAAUUUCGCCGCCCUUGGACGACAAUGCGAUUCCGGGAAACAUCUCUGAAAGAAGAAAAAGUGCAAAUGAGUUACGUUGAACACGAGCGAAACGGAAACUCGGAUAUUUUAAUCGGAUCGGAUGAAAUGUUGCCGCUGGUACAUCCAUCCUCAAGAUCCCAGGAACACGAUUCGGGAUUUAGUAGCUGGCCAAGCUGGCGCCGGAGCGGUGACCCGGCUCGAUGCGACCUUCCAAGGACGCAAAACACAUCCUCUUCUUUCUGCAUAUCGCGUGCAACAUUUUUUCUUCUCAAGCCUGUUUCUCUCCUGCAGCGUGGGUGCUGCAAGAUCGUAAACCACCGAUCGGGUUGCAUCACGUGACGAAAAUAGCUUUCUCCCCAAGAAGGGUCGUUCUCGAAUUAUUCGCGAAUUAUUACGACACGUUCGUUUACCAUGCUAAUUAGAGUCCACUGCCGUUUUAACACUGCCGGACUCGAGGCAACAGUCGCGAUUCGUAUGGAAACGAAGUAGAAACACGCGAUGAUCGUUUAGUCGCGAUACGAUUGUCGAUGAAUUUUGGAGAAUAGAAUGUGUAAGGUAUGUACGUAUGUAUAGAAGGGGUACGAUGAUCAUCGACGAAGAUACGCGGUUCUCGAUACAGUGUGGGGUGUACACGCCGUAAAAGUCGCGUGGAUCGUACGAUCGCGCGGUGCUGGCGUGGCCGCAUUCCAGCUGGCGGAUUGGUCGAUCCCAUGCGUCAUAAAUCUACAUGAUGUUCCUGCCUUUUUCGCCCUUCGUAUAGCCCUUGGCAUACGUAACCUGCCGUGGCAACGUAUAUCGCGAUAUUUUUUUUUUUUUAUUUGCGAAUUCAGUCUUUUCGCCUCGUCCUUUCUUUUUUCUUCGACACGCCGCUCGACUACCCGAACAGAAUUCCACGACGUCCGAUCUCGGUUUUUCGAACUUAGAUCGGUUCCUUCGCUAUAUACGCGUUCCUGACUUUUCAAAGAUGUCGCGAGUUCGGCAAUCCUUUCCUUCUCUUUUUAAUCGUAAAAUAAGCGUGACCAUGACGUUGAAUUUUAAAGGAUUCCGGGUCGAGGAAUUCGACAGUUUCACGACCGGUUCGAUAAACUCCGCAAUGGCGACGCGUUUUUUGUCGCAAACCCGUUGCGCCAAGACAGGGAUCACCUAAAAAGAUUUUUGUACCAGGUGCAUCCUGCGGCCGCGCAUGAGUCAUGCAUUACAUACAUCCGUGUACCUCUGUAACCCUGCAUUCUUUUCUGAGCCGAAAUUCUGAUAAGUAAAA